rnacentral:piRNA from 1 species
GCCAGCUAAUGAAGACUUUCUACUGCUUAA